GAUGAACGCUGGCGGCGUGCCUAAUACAUGCAAGUCGAGCGAACAGACGCGGAGCUUGCUCCUCUGACGUUAGCGGCGGACGGGUGAGUAACACGUGUAAAACCUCCCUAUAAGACUGGGAUAACCUCGGGAAACCGGAGCUAAUACCGGAUAAUAUACUGAACCGCAUGGUUCAAUAGAGAAAUACGGUUUUGCUGUCACUUAUAGAUGGAUCCGCGCCGCAUUAGCUAGUUGGGAAGGUAACGGCUUACCAAGGCAACCAUGCGUAGCCGACCUGAUAGGGUGAUCGGCCACACUGGAACUGAGACACGGUCCAGACUCCUACGGGAGGCAGCAGUAGGGAAUCUUCCGCAAUGGGCGAAAGCCUGACGGAGCAACGCCGCGUGAGUGAUGAAGGUCUUCGGAUCGUAAAACUCUGUUAUUAGGGAAGAACAAAUGUGUAAGUAACUAUGCACGUCUUGACGGUACCGAAUCAGAAAGCCACGGCUAACUACGUG
rnacentral:rRNA from 1 species